rnacentral:sRNA from 1 species
CACAAAGCAUAGAUCUCUAUUCAUGCUUCUUCUCUAUGAAUAUCUCUUCAUGAUUUUCUCCUUUGUAAUGCGAAAUCGUUUGGUGAAACAAAGAACACAGUCUACAAACUUCUAGGAAGAAAGGUGACGGGAGAAACAAUAAACAAGUUAAGAAGAGGCGAAUUAAAGAGGGUGGCGGUGUUAGGGUUUUGAAUUAAAAUUUCUUUUUUUUCAGUAAAACCAUUUGUACCAGUUGUUCUUAUUUAUAUGUAAAUUAUAUCAGUUGUACUAUUAUCGUUUAGUAAUACUGUAAUACCAUUUGUUCCACUUGUCCCAUAAUCUAUCGUUUGA